rnacentral:rRNA from 1 species
UGGGGAAUUUUGGACAAUGGGCGAAAGCCUGAUCCAGCAAUGCCGCGUGUGUGAAGAAGGCCUUCGGGUUGUAAAGCACUUUUGUCCGGAAAGAAAUGGCUCUGGUUAAUACCUGGGGUCGAUGACGGUACCGGAAGAAUAAGGACCGGCUAACUACGUGCCAGCAGCCGCGGUAAUACGUAGGGUCCAAGCGUUAAUCGGAAUUACUGGGCGUAAAGCGUGCGCAGGCGGUUGUGCAAGACCGAUGUGAAAUCCCCGAGCUUAACUUGGGAAUUGCAUUGGUGACUGCACGGCUAGAGUGUGUCAGAGGGGGGUAGAAUUCCACGUGUAGCAGUGAAAUGCGUAGAGAUGUGGAGGAAUACCGAUGGCGAAGGCAGCCCCUGGGAUAACACUGACGCUCAUGCACGAAAGCGUGGGGAGCAAACAGGAUUAGAUACCCUGGUAGUCCACGCCCUAAACGAUGUCAACUAGUUGUUGGGGGAUUCAUUUCCUUAGUAACGUAGCUAACGCGUAAGUAGUGACCGCCUGGGGAGUACGGUCGCAA